rnacentral:rRNA from 1 species
GCAGUCGAACGAAGUAGCAAUACUUAGUGGCAGACGGGUGAGUAACAUGUAGGUAUCUGCCCUUUGGCCUGGAAUAACACGAGGAAACUUGUGCUAAUACCGGAUAAGUCUUUACGGAGAAAGCUUUAUGCACCAUUGGAUGAGCCUGCACUUGAUUAGUUUGUUGGUGGGGUAAUGGCCUACCAAGACUGUGAUCAAUAGCUGAUUUGAGAGGAUGAUCAGCCACAUUGGGACUGAGACACGGCCCAAACUCCUACGGGAGGCAGCAGUGGGGAAUCUUGCACAAUGGAGGAAACUCUGAUGCAGCGAUGCCGCGUGAGUGAAGAAGGCCCUUGGGUUGUAAAGCUCUUUCGUCGGGGAAGAAAAUGACUGUACCCGAAUAAGAAGGUCCGGCUAACUUCGUGCCAGCAGCCGCGGUAAUACGAAGGGACCUAGCGUAGUUCGGAAUUACUGGGCUUAAAGAGUUCGUAGGUGGUUGAAAAAGUUGGUGGUGAAAUCCCAGAGCUUAACUCUGGAACUGCCAUCAAAACUUUUCAGCUAGAGUAUGAUAGAGGAAAGCAGAAUUUCUAGUGUAGAGGUGAAAUUCGUAGAUAUUAGAAAGAAUACCAAUUGCGAAGGCAGCUUUCUGGAUCAUUACUGACACUGAGGAACGAAAGCAUGGGUAGCGAAGAGGAUUAGAUACCCUCGUAGUCCAUGCCGUAAACGAUGUGUGUUAGACGUUGGAAAUUUAUUUUCAGUGUCGCAGCGAAAGCGAUAAACACACCGCCUGGGGAGUACGACCGCAAGGUUAAAACUCAAAUGAAUUGACGGGGGCCCGCACAAGUAGUGGAGCAUGUGGUUUAAUUCGAAGAUACGCGCAGAACCUUACCAACACUUGACAUGUUCGUCGCGACUCUAAGAGAUUAGAGUUUUCGGUUCGGCCGGACGAAACACAGGUGCUGCAUGGCUGUCGUCAGCUCGUGUCGUGAGAUGUUGGGUUAAGUCCCGCAACGAGCGCAACCCUCACUUUUAGUUGCCAUCAUUAAGUUGGGCACUCUGAAAGAACUGCCAGUGAUAGCUGGA